rnacentral:rRNA from 1 species
GAUGAACGCUGGCGGCGUGCCUAAUACAUGCAAGUCGAGCGAACAGACGAGGAGCUUGCUCCCCUGACGUUAGCGGCGGACGGGAGAGUAACACGUGGAUAACCUACCUAUAAGACUGGGAUAAUUUCGGGAAACCGGAGCUAAUACCGGAUAAUAUAUUGAACCGCAUGGUUCAAUAGUGAAAGACGGUUUUGCUGUCACUUAUAGAUGGAUCCGCGCCGCAUUAGCUAGUUGGUAAGGUAACGGCUUACCAAGGCAACGAUGCGUAGCCGACCUGAGAGGGUGAUCGGCCACACUGGAACUGAGACACGGUCCAGACUCCUACGGGAGGCAGCAGUAGGGAAUCUUCCGCAAUGGGCGAAAGCUUGACGGAGCAACGCCGCGUGAGUGAUGAAGGUCUUCGGAUCGUAAAGCUCUGUUAUUAGGGAAGAACAAAUGUGUAAGUAACUAUGCACGUCUUGACGGUACCUAAUCAAAAAGCCACGGCUAACUACGUG